AUCAUUGACACCCUCCACAAGGAGGGAAAGCCUCAAAAGACAAGUUUUGCACUGCAAGCAGCGCCUGCAACAACAGAUGAGAUUCCCAGGCAAGACCCCGGCUUUGGCAGCAACUCACCCAGGUGUAGGCUUCAGUGGAUAUCAAAGCUUGCUUCCUUUGGGAACUCCCUUCAUAAGGGCCUGUUGCAGGUCAACACACAGCAUAAUGACAACGGCCAUGAGCUCCUGUCUUUCACCACCAUGGGCGCCAACAUGUGCCACCUGAGCUUGCAGAACAAAACGCUGACCUACAAUCCUUAAAGGUGGAUCCAGAGGACCAUAUUGUCUAAGAGGUCCUCCUGGCACCGUGGAGAAAGUUCCUUUCAUUGUACGAUUAGGCAACAACUACCCCAAAACCAACAUACCCCUCACCUUCAUCUGCAAUUAACAUAACGGCUGUGACAUCAGGACAUGGUAUUUUACCUGUGAACAUACCGGUGUUAAUGGGUUCCAGUUCAGCUGUGUUCAGAACUGUAACGGAUAGCUGAUUCUGCACUCAGUCCCCAGCCCCUGAAGCUUUGUAUCAAAUGAAGAGACUGUUCAUAAUGGCUGCAGUAGUGAUGCAAAAAAAGGGCAAAGCUUCUUCUACAUAUUCUGUUGUAUAAUUUAACUGUAUACUGAAAAAUGUGAAGACCAUGAACACUACCUGACUUGAUAUGCAAUAUUUUAAUUGUCUUUUGAAUGAAUUCAUUUUGUUGUCUAAAUUGACCCCUUUUAUAAAAAGGUGUACAUGCAAUUCCACCCCCCACCCCCCCACACACACCUUUCAGACUACAACUUCAAGAGCUGCAAUCUCUGGAACACACUUUUGUUUGGGUUUGAGUGACAUUAAUAAGUGAUUGUUGUGCAGAUGGACCUCUGCCUCUGAAUGAAAUCUAUGAUGAUAUAG